rnacentral:rRNA from 1 species
UACGGAGGGUGCGAGCGUUGUCCGGAAUCAUUGGGCGUAAAGGGCGCGUAGGUGGCCCGGUCAGUUCGUGGUGAAAGCGCGGGGCUCAACCCUGCGUCGGCCAUGAAUACUGCCGCGGCUGGAGCACUGUAGAGGCAGGCGGAAUUCCGGGUGUAGCGGUGGAAUGCGUAGAUAUCGUAAGGAAGACCAGUGGCGAAGGCGGGUCUCUGGACAGUUCCUGACGCUGAGGCACGAAGGUCAGGGGAGCAAACGGG